rnacentral:rRNA from 1 species
AAUAGCGUAUAUUAAAGUUGUUGCAGUUAAAAAGCUCGUAGUUGGAUUUCUGGUUGAAGCGACCGGUCGGGCGUUGAUUCGUCUGCACUGGAGUCGGUUUUGGCCAUCCUCUAGGAAAGUGCGUCUGGUAUUAAGUUAUCGGGCGUAUGAUCCUGGUCUUUUACUGUGAAAAAAUUAGAGUGUUUAAAGCAGGCCUUCGCCUUGAAUACAUUAGCAUGGAAUAAUAAGAUAGGACUUUGGUCUAUUUUGUUGGUUUGCAGACCGAAGUAAUGAUUAAUAGGGAUAGUUGGGGGUAUUUAUAUUCCGAUGUCAGAGGUGAAAUUCUUAGAUUUUCGGAAGAUAAACUUAUGCGAAAGCAUUUACCAAGGAUGUCUUCAUUAA